UACGUAGGUGGCAAGCGUUGUCCGGAUUUACUGGGUGUAAAGGGCGUGCAGCCGGAGAGACAAGUCAGAUGUGAAAUCCACGGGCUCAACCCGUGAACUGCAUUUGAAACUGUUUCCCUUGAGUGUCGGAGAGGUAAUCGGAAUUCCUUGUGUAGCGGUGAAGUGCGUAGAUAUAAGGAAGAACACCAGUGGCGAAGGCGGAUUACUGGACGAUAACUGACGGUGAGGCGCGAAAGCGUGGGGAGCAAACAGG
rnacentral:rRNA from 1 species